rnacentral:rRNA from 1 species
UACGUAGGCAGCAAGCGUUGUUCGGAGUUAUUGGGCGUAAAGAGCGUGUAGGCGGCUAGGUAGGUCCGUUGUGAAAACUCGAGGCUCAACCUCGAGACGUCGGUUGAAACCACCUGGCUAGAGUCCGGAAGAGGAGAGUGGAAUUCCCGGUGUAGCGGUGAGAUGUGUAGAGAUCGGGAGGAACACCGGUGGCGAAGGCGGGUUGCUGGGCUGACACUGACGCUGAUGCGCGAAAGCCAGGGGAGCGAACGGG